UUUAGUCAGCUGGGACAUCAGCAGGGACAGACCCAGAGCCGCACAACGGGACCCGGGUGUUCCUAGUGAGGUGAAAGAAAAUGGUUUUAUUUGGUCUGUGCCCAUAUGUCCCUGCUUGAUGGCAGUCUUCACUCGGCCAGUCUGAGACCCCAAGAGCAGGACUAGGAGCUGCUCGUGCCUGCCUGACAUCUAUAACACAGAGCUAUGCUCUGCCGGCUCUCCCUGGGGCCCCAGAGUGCAGACGCUGUGGCACACAGCGGUCAGCUGUUCUCGAAGUUUCUCUGCCCUUCUAUUUCCACAUGCCUUUUGGGGAUCGAUUGGAUUCCUGGGAUAGACUCCAAAACCAACUUCAUUUACCCCAUGUCCAGGCUCGGGCCUGCCCUUUGGGGACCCCGCACUAAGCCAAGUUCUGUGUAGAUAACACCAGCAAAGCAAGGUAAGGGUUACAGGGCCACACGGCUCUCCUGGUUUCUGGCCUGUUUUGACCCCAAAGGCAGGGCAGUGGCAGGGCUAUACUGGGAUGGACGAUGGUCUCGCCUCUGCCCUGUUGGCUCAUUCAGAUAACGGAAGUUUACCAGGAAGGGACAACCCAGAGACCUGGGUAGUGUGGGCAGGAAGGCAGAAACGAAGAUCUGGUCCGCCCCUUUGUCCACUCAAGGCCUUUAUCAAGGACUUAGCAAUACUACUCUCAAACAGUCCUGUCUGUCUCUUGCUUUUCCAGGGCUGAGCCCUUCAAUCCCAUGUAAAGCUGGAAACUAUGUCAGCUAGAAUUAAUGGCUGCUUUAUCCGUGCGAGAGCUGUAGAAUGUGCUAGAAUUCAGAUUAGUAAUGAAGCCAUCCAUGAUUGCUGGAAGUGAUUCUCUGCCUCCAGAGAGGCCUUGAGAGGGGCUCAGUGUUGGGUAUCCCCUUACCGCCAGUCAUAGCACUAUCUGGCCCAGCCAUGCAAAGCAUGCUGGGAAAAUCCCAUCCACAGCUGCAUCUCCUCCAGUGUGACCGCUGGGGUUUCCUGGGGAAACCCACCUGAGGAAGUCUGGCUUGUUAAAAUCUAAAUUGGAACAAAAUGCAAAUUCCUGAGGAGUUAGUCGUGGUUUCCAAGAAGAGUCCUUCUGGUGGGGUCUGACAGACAUUCUUUGAUAGGUCCUGCAGCUCCCUUGAACUGGGUCCAGUAGCAUGCCAGGCUUGAGAUGGACUGAUGGGGCCCCAGGGAGGAGCUGGUAGAAUAUAGCUCUGUCUUAUAGCUUUACAGUGAUAUCAGGCAGGCAUGACCAGCUCCUAGUCCUGCUGGCUGACCUUGGGGUCUCAGACUGACUGAGUGAAGACUGCUGUCAAGCAGGGAUGUCAGAUGCAGUCCAGACUCUGCAUCCUGAGGGGAUAAACAGAUGGCUUGAACACCGGGUGCCUCAGGGGACCAGUGAUGGCUGUCUCACAUACAAAACCACCAAUCUGAGCCAUGCUAUGCUAUAGCUGGGCAUCCCUGACAGCCAGGACACCCCUGACCCUGGGGCAGGACACGUUAGGCAGAAAUCAUUGUGAAUUCCACAGAAAGCAAGGGGACAGAUGUGGCAGCAUGGGCAGGAGGCAGGGUCUGGGUACUUGUCACCACCUUACUGAGAGGGCAGCUGAGCUUCCUGGGGCUGUAGAACAAAUGGUCACAAAGCCAGGUGUGCAGGGCAGGCUGGGUGAUCCCAGUCCACCCACCCAUGAAGGAACUCACCAGUAGGAUUUCAGAGGCCUUCGCAAUACAGACUAUAGAUAUCACCCCUACUCUAUCAUCACAGCACAGGAGGGAGAGAUCUCGCUCCAAGGGAAAGAAAACUUCAGAAACUAACACCUGGGAGACUUGUGCAAAUGUCCUGAGGCAACAGAACAAAAAACAGCAUGGACUGAGGGCUCCAACCAGGUUCACCAUCUCACGGAUCCUGAGGCUGGAAGUCCAAAGUCAAGCUGUCUCAGGGCUGGGUCCCCUGAGGCAGCUCUCCUUCACCCGCAGAUGUGUCCUCACCCAGUCCUCCCUCUGUGUGUCAUGGGGACACAGUCCUGCGGGCUCAGGUCCACCCUAAGGGCUUUGUCUCGCUGCAAGCACCUUUGUGACGAUGCCAUCUCCAGAUUGUUUGCUGUGGUCCUGUGUGGUCUCGAACAGGUGGACUCGCACGCGACAGCUGAUGGAAAUUUCCCCUCUUGUGGCUCUGUGAUGGAGAUGUGUCCAGCCAUGGGCAAAAUUAGCAUUUCCACUGAAGGUGUAGGAGGAAGCUCUUGAGCUCCGAGAAUGACGCUGAUGGACAACGGUGUCCUUCCUUCCGUCCCUUGGCUGUGCUCCCCAGGGACCAAUUUGGAAUGUGCAGUGUGGGCUUUGGAUUUCCUGGGUCUGAUGUAACCUGAGCUUGCGGUGUAGGUUGAUGGUGGCCCUGAAGAUGGAUGUGCCUUCCAGCUGUGGGUCCUAAGGGGCAAAGGGACCCUGGCCAUAAGGUCUCCCUGAUGAGCUGGAGGCAGUUAAUGUCCUGACCGCCUUUUACAGUUGACUAUGGUCUGCAAGUGUGUACUGGCUGGUUCUGUGUGUCAACUUGACCCAGGCUGGAGUUAUCACAGAGAAAGGAGCUUCAGUUGGGGAAGUGCCUCCAUGAGAUCCUGCUGCGGGGCAUUUUCUCAAUUAGUGAUCAAGCUCCUGCUUCCUGACCUGCUUGAGUUCCAGUCCUGACUUCCUUUGGUUCCAGUCCUGACUUCCUUUGGUGAUGAACAGCAAUGCAGAAGUAGGCAACACUGCAGAGCCCUCAUCUCCCUCCCGGGCUCCCAUGCUCCUCCGAGCCUCUGCAGGCGGGCGGGCGGCAGCAGCCAACAGCAGCUGGUGUUUACUCGAGCCUCCUGCCCAGCCCCAGCUCUCAAUCUCCACAGCUCUCCACAGAACGCCUGCUGUCCUUUCUACUUCACAGCGGGGAGGAAGUGGAGGUUCAGAGAGGACCAGGAAUUCAUCUCAGCUGAAGUGGGCGUCGUGCGGAUCUGCACCCACGCCAUUGCACCUCGUCCCAAACUUCCGUUUGGCCAUCUGUCUUCCAGAAACCCUCUGACAGUACAUCCGGCAGAUGCCUUGGGGUGUUCCUCAUAGACCUGUGUGGAAGUCAAAACACGGCUGGCGCUCCAGAGGGAGGAACUUGAGGGAGAUCCUCUGCCCCUGGGGAAGCUGUGUACCAGCUGCUGAUUCUCUGAGGACAUUUUGACGGCGAGAAUGGGCCACACAGCACCAGGUCAGAUACUAGCACAAGGGAUAAAAGAUGCUUCUCCAGGCGAAAGCCUUCUCCGCAGCGACCUCCGGCCACGCCCAUUACGGGCUGUGUCAAUCUUGUUUCCCCUCCAAUCACCGUAGUCUCCCAGUCCUGAGGAGAAACGACUGUGUCUUAGAACUUCUUUCCUCUUAAAAUCCUGGUCCCUGCUGCCUAUGGAGAGACAGUCAGACUCGGGUUAAGACAAUUCCUAGAGGCACGAAGGCGCUUCCUCACAGGGCGUAUUUCAAAUACUACCCAACCACAAUCCAUAGCCCCCAAGUCACCAAGGCCACCAUCCCUUGAACUCCACACAACCCAGGAUGGUUCUCACUUCCACACCAGCCUGUCCUCAGCUGCUUGCUUGACUGGCCCUCACCAAUUCCCUCACAGAGAAACCACACCAGGCCCCCUCCCACCUUUCCCUCGCUCCCUUUGCUUCCUGACUGGCUCCUGGCUCUCCAGUGUGGCUUCCCUUGGGGAUGGCUACUCUCAGAGUCUAACACACUAUUUCAUCGGACCCAAUCAUGCCCCUGUUGUAUAGGCUUCACCUCCCCUCCUCCUAAUGAUUAGACUAUGCUUUGUCUGGCCUGUGACACAGACACACUGUCUUAUCAACACAUGAGAGACUGAGGCAGAAGGAUUGUGAGUUUCAGGGCUAGCCUGAGCUAUGUAACAAGACACCCCCCCCC